UGGGGAAUAUUGCACAAUGGGCGCAAGCCUGAUGCAGCCAUGCCGCGUGUGUGAAGAAGGCCUUCGGGUUGUAAAGCACUUUCAGCGGGGAGGAAGGCGUUAAGGUUAAUAACCUUGGCGAUUGACGUUACCCGCAGAAGAAGCACCGGCUAACUCCGUGCCAGCAGCCGCGGUAAUACGGAGGGUGCAAGCGUUAAUCGGAAUUACUGGGCGUAAAGCGCACGCAGGCGGUCUGUCAAGUCGGAUGUGAAAUCCCCGGGCUCAACCUGGGAAGUGCAGUCGAAACUGGCAGGCUAGAGUAUUGUAGAGGGGGGUAGAAUUCCAGGUGUAGCGAUGAAAUGCGUAGAGAUCUGGAGGAAUACCGGUGGCGAAGGCGGCCCCCUGGACAAAGACUGACGCUCAGGUGCGAAAGCGUGGGGAGCAAACAGG
rnacentral:rRNA from 1 species